rnacentral:rRNA from 1 species
GAGCGGUCGUAGCAAUACGGCAGCGGCAGACGGGAGAGUAACACGUGGGAACGCGCCCUUCGGUUCGGAAUAACUCAGGGAAACUUGGGCUAAUACCGGAUACGCCCUUACGGGGAAAGAUUUAUUGCCGAAGGAACGGCCCGCGUCCGAUUAGCUAGUUGGCGGGGUAACGGCCCACCAAGGCGAAGAUCGGUAGCCGGCCUGAGAGGGCGCACGGCCACACUGGAACUGAAACACGGUCCAGACUCCUACGGGAGGCAGCAGUGGGGAAUUUUGCGCAAUGGGGGAAACCCUGACGCAGCAACGCCGCGUGGAGGAUGAAGCCCCUUGGGGCGUAAACUCCUUUCGAUCGCGACGAUUAUGA